GAGGGAAGGCGGUGCAGGACAAAGAGUGAGGGAAGGCGGUGCAGGACAAAGAGAGAGGGAAGGCGGUGCAGGACAAAGAGAGAGGGAAGGCGGUGCAGGACAAAGAGAGAGGGAAGGCGGUGCAGGACAAAGAGAGAGGGAAGAUGGUGCAGGACCAAGAGUGAGGGAAGAUGGUGCAGGUGUGCUAUAGAAAGUAUACCGUUCACAAGUCGAAGCAGCUACAGUCGAAUAAUCUUAACGUUUCGAUCCCCCUCAAAUG
ensembl:lncRNA